rnacentral:rRNA from 1 species
UACGAAGGGGGCUAGCGUUGUUCGGAAUCACUGGGCGUAAAGGGCGCGUAGGCGGCCGAUCAAGUCGGGGGUGAAAGCCUGUGGCUCAACCACAGAAUUGCCUUCGAUACUGUUUGGCUUGAGACCGGAAGAGGUAAGUGGAACUGCGAGUGUAGAGGUGAAAUUCGUAGAUAUUCGCAAGAACACCAGUGGCGAAGGCGGCUUACUGGUCCGGUUCUGACGCUGAGGCGCGAAAGCUAGGGGAGCAAACGGG